CGCUGGCGACCGGCGAACGGGUGCGGAACACGUACGCAACCUUCCUUCAAGCGGGGGAUAACCCGGAGAAAUCCGGAUUAAUACCCCAUAAGAUUGUGGGUUGGCAUCAACCAGCAAUUAAAGAUUUAUCACUUGAAGAUGGGCGUGCGCCUGAUUAGGUCGUUGGUGAGGUAACGGCUCACCACGCCUACCAUCAGUAACUGGCGUGAGAGCACGACCAGGGGCGCGGGCACUGAGACACGGGCCCAACUCCUACAGGAGGCAGCAGUAAGGAAUAUUGGUCAAUGGACCCAAGUCUGAACCAGCCAUGCCGCGUGGAGGAUGAAGGUCCUCUGGAUUGUAAACUUCUUUUAUCUGGGAAGAAACGGGUCCUUUUUAGGAUUUUUGACGGUACCAGAUGAAUAAGCACCGGCUAACUCCGUGCCAGCAGCCGCGGUAAUACGGAGGGUGCAAGCGUUAUCCGGAUUCACUGGGUUUAAAGGGUGCGUAGGCGGAAUGGAAAGUCCGUUGUGAAAUCUCCGAACUUAACUCCCAAAUUGCGGUGGAUACUAUCAUUCUUGAAUACUGUGGAGGUUAGCGGAAUAUGUCAUGUAGCGGUGAAAUGCGUAGAUAUGACAUGCAACACCAAUUGCAAAAGCAGCUGGCUACACAGAUAUUGACGCUGAGGCACGAAAGCGUGGGGAUCAAACAGGAGUAGAUACCCCUGGUAGUCCACGCCCCUGAACGAUGAUUACUCGACCUUUGCGAGACACAGGCAAGUGUCUUGAGCGGAAAGCAUUUAAGUAAUCCACCCUGGGGAAGUACGACCCCCACGGGUGGAAACUCAGAAGGAAUUGACGGGGGGUCCGCACAAAUCGGUGGGAGCCCCGUGGGUUUAAUUUCGAAAGAUACGCCGAUGAAACCUUAACCUGGGGCUAAAAAUGCAAAACUGGACGGGCUGGGUGAAACGC
rnacentral:rRNA from 1 species